AGAGAAGCGACCUCGCGAGAGCAAGCGGACCUCAUAAAGUGCGUCGUAGUCCGGAUUGGAGUCUGCAACUCGACUCCAUGAAGUCGGAAUCGCUAGUAAUCGUGGAUCAGAAUGCCACGGUGAAUACGUUCCCGGGCCUUGUACACACCGCCCGUCACACCAUGGGAGUGGGUUGCAAAAGAAGUAGGUAGCUUAACCUUCGGGAGGGCGCUUACCACUUUGUGAUUCAUGACUGGGGUGAAGUCGUAACAAGGUAACCGUAGGGGAACCUGCGGUUGGAUCACCUCCGGGGUGAAGUCGUAACAAGGUAACCGUAGGGGAACCUGCGGUUGGAUCACCUCCUCAAA
rnacentral:rRNA from 1 species